AUUGAACGCUGGCGGCAUGCCUUACACAUGCAAGUCGAACGGUAGGGGGAGCAAUCCCCUGAGAGUGGCGAACGGGUGAGUAAAGCAUCGGAACGUGCCCAGUUGUGGGGGAUAACUACUCGAAAGAGUGGCUAAUACCGCAUACGACCUGAGGGUGAAAGCGGGGGACCGAAAGGCCUCGCGCAGUUGGAGCGGCCGAUGUCAGAUUAGCUAGUUGGGGGGGUAAAGGCCCACCAAGGCGCAGAUCUGUAGCUGGUCUGAGAGGACGACCAGCCACACUGGGACUGAGACACCGCCCAGACUCCUACGGGAGGCAGCAGUGGGGAAUUUUGGACAAUGGGCGCAAGCCUGAUCCAGCCAUGCCGCGUGCAGGAAGAAGGCCUUCGGGUUGUAAACUGCUUUUGUCAGGGAAGAAAUCCCUUGGGUUAAUACCUCGGGGGGAUGACGGUACCUGAAGAAUAAGCACCGGCUAACUACGUGCCAGCAGCCGCGGUAACAC
rnacentral:rRNA from 1 species